rnacentral:rRNA from 1 species
UGGGGGAUAUUGCACAAUGGGGGAAACCCUGAUGCAGCGACGCCGCGUGAAGGAAGAAGUAUUUCGGUAUGUAAACUUCUAUCAGCAGGGAAGAAAAUGACGGUACCUGACUAAGAAGUCCCGGCUAACUACGUGCCAGCAGCCGCGGUAAUACGUAGGGGGCAAGCGUUAUCCGGAUUUACUGGGUGUAAAGGGAGCGUAGGCGGUGCGCCAAGCUGGAUGUGAAAGGCCGGGGCUCAACCCCGGGACUGCAUUUGGAACUGGCGUACUGGAGUGUUGGAGAGGCAGGCGGAAUUCCUAGUGUAGCGGUGAAAUGCGUAGAUAUUAGGAGGAACACCAGUGGCGAAGGCGGCCUGCUGGACAAUAACUGACGCUGAGGCUCGAAAGCGUGGGGAGCAAACAGG